UGCAUGAUAAGGACGGGACUAAAACCCGCCUGGGCAGAGCUACAAUCUGCCGCCUGGCUCGGCCACCU
rnacentral:tRNA from 1 species